AUUAAAGUGUUGAAGAGGAUUAGUAAACAAUGAUUAUGGUGAAAGAGAGUGGAGCUCAUUGGCUGAAAAGUUCCAUCAUUCGUUAACUUGUUGAACCUGCCUCAGAGCUGUCGGUGAAAAGCUGACCGCUUACCAGCGUUAACGGUGUGAAUGAGUGGGCACUUGAACUUGCCAACAAAAGGUGGUACCGCGGAGAUAAAGUCUUUCCGUCCUUUUU
rnacentral:ncRNA from 1 species